UACGUAGGGUGCAAGCGUUAAUCGGAAUUACUGGGCGUAAAGCGUGCGCAGGCGGUUUUGUAAGUCUGUCGUGAAAUCCCCGGGCUUAACCUGGGAAUGGCGAUGGAGACUGCAAGGCUAGAGUUUGGCAGAGGGGGGUAGAAUUCCACGUGUAGCAGUGAAAUGCGUAGAGAUGUGGAGGAACACCGAUGGCGAAGGCAGCCCCCUGGGUCAAAACUGACGCUCAUGCACGAAAGCAUGGGGAGCAAACAGG
rnacentral:rRNA from 1 species